ACACUGGUACAGACAAGCAACGGUGGGUUACAAAGUGGCUUCAGAAGACAAUCAUUUAAGAGAGAGUGGUAUAAUAACCAAGAAUAUCUUGCAAGUUAGACAUGAGGCAAAACAGACAUACUUGAUGUUUAAUUCAGAGACUUUAUCCAGUUGAUGAACUGGUGGGUUACAAAGUGGCUAUGUCUAGAAGACAAUUAUUAGAGAGAACCAAGAAUAUCUUGAAAGUUUGACAUGAACUAAAACAGAUAUUCAGAGACUUAAUCCAGUUGAUAAACUGGUAAGUGAAGUUUUAGAGUUUACUGAAUG